rnacentral:rRNA from 1 species
CACGUAUUUAGCCGGGGCUUCCUCCUAUGAUACCGUCAUUAUCUUCUCAUAGGACAGAGCUUUAUGAUUCGAAAACCUUCUUCGCUCACGCGGCGUCGCUGCAUCAGGGUUUCCCCCAUUGUGCAAUAUUCCCCACUGCUGCCUCCCGUAGGAGUCUGGACCGUGUCUCAGUUCCAGUGUGGCCGUUCAUCCUCUCAGACCGGCUACUGAUCGUCGCCUUGGUAGGCCUUUACCCUUCCAACUAGCUAAUCAGACGCGAGCCCAUCUUACACCGAUAAAUCUUUGACCCCUAUACCAUGCAGUAUUGUGGUCUCAUGCGGUAUUAAUCGUCGUUUCCAACGGCUAUCCCCCUGUGUAAGGUAGGUUGCUCACGUGUUACUCACCCGUUCGCCACUUUCAUUUUAUUUCCGUCCCCGAAGGUUCUUCCAUAAAAAUCACGUUCGACUUGCAUGUGUUAAGCACGCCGCCAGCGUUCGUCCUGUAGCCAGAUCAAACUACU